GAAGACAGGAAAAUAACCCAACUUUUUCUUUUUUAAUCCUGCUACUGUGAUAAUGACAGAGGAAGAAAGACGUCAAUUACUUAUUCCAACAAUGAUGUCUUGUGUUUGCAGGUCACCAGCACUGGGAGGUAAACCAGAGUCCUUCCGUUUUUUUUUUUGCCGCGUCUUUGUCUCUGAGGGGGGAUGGAACACUGUCUGAACUUUCCUAAUCGUCAUCUGAGUCCAAUUUCCUCAAAUUGACCCUUUGGAAGUUGUCUUUGAAGGACCAACUGUACGACAUAGUUUGAACUUCACGAAGGUGUCGGUCCUCAAGAACGUGUAGAUGGAAACCCGUGAAGCGAGCAGCAGCCGGUGGCUCCCGCCUGUCAGAUGAAAGAAGACAUAAUCCAUAAGAAAAGGGGGGUGAAACCAGAGCGUCGUUCUCACCAUUCACGGGUCUAAAUUGGCUGUCAAAGUGUACCAACUUGUCGGAAUAUGUCCUCAUCCUUCUACUAUCCAGGAUGGAAAGGCCGCCGUUGGCUGGAAGUUGAUGGAGGAGGUGGACAUUGUUGCUCACUCCGGAGAUUUAGGAGGUAGGUCUUCCCACUUUCUUGACAACACAUGAGCGUGUGUGGGAGUGUUCCCUCAACUAAAGGGAGGAAAAAUAAUGAGCGAGAGGGAGCCAUUGGAAUAACGGCUAACAAGGGAAAGGGGGCAACUCAGGAGGUCGACCACAAAAUUCAACCAACAUGGAGUCUUUUUUUUUCUUCUUUCCCAGCGCUGAUAAAAUUCCACUUAACCC